UACGUAGGGUGCGAGCGUUGUCCGGAAUUAUUGGGCGUAAAGAGCUCGUAGGCGGUUUGUCGCGUCGGGAGUGAAAUCCACUGGCUUAACUGGUGGCUUGCUUUCGAUACGGGCAGACUGGAGGUAUGCAGGGGAGAACGGAAUUCCUGGUGUAGCGGUGAAAUGCGCAGAUAUCAGGAGGAACACCGGUGGCGAAGGCGGUUCUCUGGGCAUGUCCUGACGCUGAGGAGCGAAAAGUGUGGGGGAGCGAACAGG
rnacentral:rRNA from 1 species